GGCUCCGUGGUCUAGUGGUAAGAUACCUGCUUUGGGCUUGCAGGAAUUGCGUAUAUAUGCAGGUGACCCCGGGUUCGAACCCCGGCGGAGCCC
rfam:Neolentinus lepideus HHB14362 ss-1 unplaced genomic scaffold NEOLEscaffold_18, whole genome shotgun sequence.